rnacentral:rRNA from 1 species
UGGGGAAUUUUGGACAAUGGAGGAAACCCUGAUCCAGCCAUCCCGCGUGUGCGAUGAAGGCCUUCGGGUUGUAAAGCACUUUUGGCAGGAAAGAAACGUCGCGGGUUAAUACCCCGCGAAACUGACGGUACCUGCAGAAUAAGCACCGGCUAACUACGUGCCAGCAGCCGCGGUAAUACGUAGGGUGCAAGCGUUAAUCGGAAUUACUGGGCGUAAAGCGUGCGCAGGCGGUUCGGAAAGAAAGAUGUGAAAUCCCAGAGCUUAACUUUGGAACUGCAUUUUUAACUACCGGGCUAGAGUGUGUCAGAGGGAGGUGGAAUUCCGCGUGUAGCAGUGAAAUGCGUAGAUAUGCGGAGGAACACCGAUGGCGAAGGCAGCCUCCUGGGAUAACACUGACGCUCAUGCACGAAAGCGUGGGGAGCAAACAGGAUUAGAUACCCUGGUAGUCCACGCCCUAAACGAUGUCAACUAGCUGUUGGGGCCUUCGGGCCUUGGUAGCGCAGCUAACGCGUGAAGUUGACCGCCUGGGGAGUACGGUCGC